UGGUUGUCGCUUGGUGCUUGGCCUCGGUAGUCCGUAUGAAAAUAACACCGGCUGAUUGUUUCUGGUUUAUUUUUCAUUUGGAAGAACAAGACAAGUAGUCUAAAUAAUGAAUACGAAAACACGUAUUUGAUUCCUAAAUAUAAUACGUGUUUUCAAGAUUAAUAUGAAACUGUUUUAAAUUAUGUUUCAAGCUGUCCACAUAGUCAAACACCGUAGAAGAAGAAACGGAAGACGACGAAGAAGAAGACAAUCCAUCAUGGCGUUGCCGGCAGGACGUGCGGUGGUGUUUGUGACUGGAAACGCGAAAAAACUUGAAGAGGUAGUUCAGAUUCUUGGCGACAAGUUUCCCUACAAACUUAUCUCAAAGAAAAUUGACUUACCCGAAUACCAAGGAGAACCAGAUGAGAUUUCCAUACAGAAGUGCAAGGAGGCUGCAAGAGAGAUUGAUGGACCGGUCAUAGUGGAGGACACCUGUCUGUGUUUCAAGGCAUUGGGAGGCUUGCCAGGCCCCUACAUAAAGUGGUUCCUGGAUAAACUCAAGCCAGAAGGCUUGUACAAACUCCUCGCUGGCUUUGAGGAUAAAUCCGCAUGGGCCCUCUGCACAUUUGCGUUCACGUCCGGAAAAGACGAACCGGUGCAGCUGUUCAGAGGAAUAACACAGGGGCGCAUCGUGGAGCCAAGGGGACCUCGAGACUUUGGCUGGGACCCCUGUUUCCAGCCGGAAGGCUACGACAAAACCUACGCGGAGCUGCCAAAAGAAGUCAAGAACUCCAUCUCUCACCGAUACCGGGCACUAGUGGCCAUGUCGGAGCACUUUUCAACGAACGCCAAGAGGAAGAAGACGGAUGACUGAGUGACGACAAGGCCAAUGGCAAGUCUGGCUUUGUUACCGUCGACAACUUCACUAGUGCGACUGCAAAUUUGACCACUUUCAGGAUGUUCCAACUUUACACAAGGAUAAAAACAGGAAAAUGGCUGUGUGACUUACUGUUAAGUCACCGUCUGUCCUGAUUACGCAAGAGGAUGAAGAGGUUUUGAUGUAGCUUCCAGAGGGACAGACAAACGUACCGGACACAAAUGAAAACCUCCAGACGCUCUUACAAAGAAUAACAACCCACAGGAGUAUAAAAGAGAGCUUUG